rnacentral:rRNA from 1 species
AGGACGAACGCUGGCGGCGUGCUUAACACAUGCAAGUCGAACAGGAGUAUUGAAGAAGCUUGCUUUAGAGAUACUUUAGUGGCGGACGGGUGAGUAACGCGUGAGGAGCUGUCCUAUGCAGGGGGACAACAGCUGGAAACGGCUGCUAAUACCCCAUAAGCCGAGAGGUAAAAGGAUCAAUCCGGCAGAGGAGGUACUCGCGUCCUAUCAGCUAGUAGGUGAGGUAACGGCUCACCUAGGCGAAGACGGGUAGCCGGCCUGAGAGGGCGAAACGGCCACACUGGAACUGAGAUACGGUCCAGACUCCUACGGGAGGCAGCAGUGGGGAAUAUUGGGCAAUGGGGGAAACCCUGACCCAGCGACGCCGCGUGGGUGAAGAAAUCCUUCGGGAUGUAAAGCCCUGUUGUAUGGGAAGAGCGGAAGACGGUACCAUACGAGGAAGCCCCGGCAAACUACGUG